rnacentral:rRNA from 1 species
CCCUUAGAUGUUCUGGGCCGCACGCGCGCUACACUGAGCCCUUCAUCGAGUUUACAACCUUGGCCGGUAGGUCUGGGUAAUCUUCUCAAAGGGGCUCGUGCUGGGGAUAGAUUAUUGUAAUUUUUAAUCUUCAACGAGGAAUUCCUAGUAAACGCAAGUCAACAGCUUGCAUUGAUUACAUCCCUGCCCUUUGUACACACCGCCCGUCGCUACUACCGAUUGAAUGGCUUAGUGAGCCCGAGGGACUGUUGCACCUAGAGGGUUUUCUCUCCAGGAGCAGCCGGGAACUCGGUCAAACUUGAUCAUUUAGAGGAAGUAAAAGUCGUAACA